rnacentral:rRNA from 1 species
GACGAACGCUGGCGGCGUGCUUAACACAUGCAAGUCGAACGGAAAGGCCCCUUUGGGGGUACUCGAGUGGCGAACGGGUGAGUAACACGUGAGUAACCUGCCCUUGACUUCGGGAUAACUUCAGGAAACUGGGGCUAAUACCGGAUAGGAAUCCUUGCUGCAUGGUGGGGGUUGGAAAGCUUCGGCGGUUUUGGAUGGACUCGCGGCUUAUCAGCUUGUUGGUGGGGUAGUGGCUUACCAAGGCUUUGACGGGUAGCCGGCCGGAGAGGGCGACCGGCCAAAUUGGGACUGAGAUACGGCCCAGACUCCUACGGGAGGCAGCAGUGGGGAAUAUUGCACAAUGGGCGGAAGCCUGAUGCAGCAACGCCGCGUGCGGGAUGACGGCCUUCGGGUUGUAAACCGCUUUCAGCAGGGGCGAAGCUUGUGGUGACGGUACCUGCAGAAGAAGCACCGGCUAACUACGUG